rnacentral:rRNA from 1 species
CCUACGUGAGGCAGCAGUGGGGAAUAUUGCACAAUGGGGGAAACCCUGAUGCAGCGACGCCGCGUGAGUGAAGAAGUAAUUCGUUAUGUACAGCUCUAUCAGCAGGGAAGAAAAUGCCGGUACAUGAGUAAGAAGCCCCGGCUAACUACGUGCCAGCAGCCGCGGUAAUACGUAGGGGGCAAGCGUUAUCCGGAUUUACUGGGUGUAAAGGGAGCGUAGACGGCAGUGCAAGUCUGGAGUGAAAGGCGGGGGCUCAACCCCCGGACUGCUCUGGAAACUGUACGGCUGGAGUGCAGGAGAGGUAAGUGGAAUUCCUAGUGUAGCGGUGAAAUGCGUAGAUAUUAGGAGGAACACCAGUGGCGAAGGCGGCUUACUGGACUGUAACUGACGUUGAGGCUCGAAAGCGUGGGGAGCAAACAGGAUGAGAUACCCCUGUAGUC